GACCAAAAGUUUCCCUGCGGUGAUAGAUAAAUCUAAAGUAUUUCCGAUUUGGAACCGAAAGUUGGUAGAAAGUUGAAAUUUACAACCAUGCGAAAAUCAUGAUAAUUAGUGAAAGACUGUAUUUUUAUUUUUUUUAUUUUUAGUAUUUUAUAUACUAGCUAGUUAAAACGUAAAAUGGCUCACACUCAACCACUGAAGAAAGGAGAAUGGAUUGAGAUCAAGAUUUUGGGCUCUGGUGGAUUUGGUCAAGUUAUUCUGUGGAAGCAUGAGGAUAAUGAAGAUUACAUAGCUCUGAAAAAAUGUCGUGUGCAGAGUGAAAUGAGCCGAAAACACAAGGAGCGCUGGAUAAUGGAAGUGGACAUCAUGAAGCGUCUGAACCACCCUAAUGUCAUAGCAGCGAAAGAAGUGCCUCCUGUACUUAAUGUCAGUGUUGGGGAACUACCAUUACUGGCCAUGGAGUACUGCUCAGGAGGAGAUCUACGCAAGGUGCUAAACAAACCAGAGAACUGUGUUGGACUGAAGCAGUAUGAUAUACGAUGUCUGGUAAAUGACGUAUCAUCGGCCGUGGAGUAUCUACAUGGCAGAAGAAUUAUACACCGAGACCUAAAACCAGAGAACAUUGUGUUACAUCUAACAGAAGAUAGGAUUCUGUAUAAGGUGAUAGACUUGGGUUAUGCCAAAGAAUUGGACCAAAGCAGUGUGUGCACAUCAUUUGUUGGAACUAUGCAAUAUCUUGCCCCUGAACUGUUUGCCAGCCAGAAGUACACCUGUACUGUGGACUAUUGGUCAUUUGGUACAUUAGUGUUUGAGUGUAUUACAGGAUUCAGGCCAUUCUUACCACAAGUCCCACCAGUCACAUGGCACAAAGAAGUUUGUCAAAAGUCACCAGAUGACAUCACUGCAUAUUAUAAUUCAGAUGGAGAAGUGAAAUUUUCACAGAAAAUUGUUACACCCACACGCCUGUGCAGGAGUAUGCAGUGCUACUUUGAACAGUGGCUAAGUCUAAUGUUACGAUGGGACCCUAAGGCAAGAGGAGGGGUGCUCAGCGAAAACAGACCACAGUGUUUUAAAGUAUUGGACACAGUGCUUAAGACCAAGAUAGUCCAUAUUUUAUUUGUGCCCAACAAUCAACUUUUGUCCUAUCCACUUGUGGAGAACUCUUCCAUGCAAACACUACAAGAAAGCAUUCAGGAGGAAACAGGGGUCAGGGUUCAGGAUCAAGACAUUCUAUUGGCUAGUGGGGCAUCACCUGACCCUAAUCUUGGUGCACACCAGUGCUGGAAUCCACCUGGAGAGGAAGACUGGGUUGUCUUUCUUUUUAUCAAGGGAGAUAACCAAGGAGGGGGAAGUCAGAGAAAUAAACCACUGCCAACGAAUGUUCAGGGUAUUUUCAAGGAACCAACAAUAGUUCUUCCAUAUCAGGAACAAAAGAGAGCUUGGGCAGAAGCUGUAUAUUUCUGUGCUCAACAGGAAGUUGAUUUCAGGAGACUGAUUCAGAGUCAAAGGGCAACUAUGUUUAGUUUAUUAAGAACAAAUAGCAGUUUUGCCAAGUUGGAGAAGAAUAUGGUCAGCAAUUUUGAGCAACUUGUGUCAAAAAUGGACUACUUCAAGGAAUGCCUCCAGCAUGACUUGGACCUUUAUGAAAUUCAAAUAAAUGAUGGAGGAAUCAAUGCAGAUAAAGUUGUUGCUAAAUGGAAACAAGUGGGGGAGGAGAUUGAGAUCUACAGAAAAUUGAAAGACAAUGUUGACCAGCUUCAUCAACAAUCCUUAGCACUGCAUACUAAAAUCUUAGAAUUACAGAAAAGUCCAUUUGCUCGAAGCAAGCAACAUGAGGUUUUGGAAAAUCUAGAAAAAUUAUCAAAGAAGGCAAGUGAUUUGUACCAUGACAUGAGACAAGCUGGCAAAGGUGGACGAGAGCAGUACAAGGACCACAAACCCAUGGUACAACUGGUGGUCAAAUGUAUCAUCACUCGUGACCAGAGUCUGCAGGACCUGUACACACAUCUCGGGUAACCAAGUAGAACAUACAUGUAUACUGUUGUUUCACCAACUACCCCACCCCACCCCCACCACCACCAACUUUGAGGGAACAUAGUAACACAAUAGUUGCAAGCGGAGUUCCACACUGCAAUAAUUUUACAUUAAUUUUUGUGGUUGUGUGUUUAUAUUAAUGCAAUGUGUAUGUAUAAUAUCAAAAUAAAGAAGCACGAGUAGUCAAUAGUACAUGUAAAUAUUGCAAAAUUCUGAACCAUAUCUGUAUACUUGCAAUUCACUCAACCAUGGCUUUAUUUAUUUUCUCAUGUUUUGGAAACUUUUCUAAAUAAUAUAUUUAUUACCAUGUAGCAUUAUAUAAUCCCCUUGCAAUUUUCAGAGUUGAAAUAGUAAUGCUGAGUGUGUGUGUAUGUUUGUAUGUGAGUAAGUUACUAGGUGUUAUCAACUUUGUAUACUUGCAAUAUUGUACUUGCAUCCUAUGAUGUGUUGUUUAAUAGUGUUGAUUUUC